rnacentral:rRNA from 1 species
GACAGAGGGUGCGAACGUUGCUCGGAAUUACUGGGCGUAAAGCGCGUGUAGGCGGGUGAUCAAGUCAGGUGUGAAAUCCCCGGGCUCAACCUGGGAACUGCAUCCGAGACUGCAUUGCUAGAGUAUGGGAGAGGGAAGCGGAAUUUCUGGUGUAGCAGUGAAAUGCGUAGAUAUCAGAAGGAACAUCAGUGGCGAAGGCGGCUUCCUGGACCAAUACUGACGAUCAGGUGCGAAAGCGUGGGGAGCAAACAGG